rnacentral:antisense_RNA from 1 species
UUUGGCGUUCGGCUUGCGCGCAACGAUGCCGUUACCGACCGCGUGCAAAAGGUGGGUUUUACCCAAACCGGUGCCGCCAUA